GAUGAUUGUGUCCCAAAUUUCCUUAGCCGUAGUACAAGAAGAGACUUUAUCUAUCUCUGACUGAACCAUGCCACUUAAAAGUGUAUUCAUGGCCUUGGAAUUAUAAGAUACCAUAUACAAUUCAUUUGAGUCCAUUUCCAUGAGAUUCUUUGGCUUGCCAUCAUCAUGUCGCGGAAUGACUGGUCCAUUUUCGACAACCCACC
rnacentral:lncRNA from 1 species